GCCGGUUUAGCUCAGCUGGUAGAGCAGCUGAUUUGUAAUCAGAAGGUCGCGGGUUCGAUUCCUGCAACCGGCG
rnacentral:tRNA from 1 species